rnacentral:rRNA from 1 species
UACGUAGGGUGCAAGCGUUAAUCGGAAUUACUGGGCGUAAAGCGUGCGCAGGCGGUUUUGUAAGUUUGUCGUGAAAUCCCCGGGCUCAACCUGGGAAUGGCGAUGAAGACUGCAAGGCUAGAAUCUGGCAGAGGGGGGUAGAAUUCCACGUGUAGCAGUGAAAUGCGUAGAGAUGUGGAGGAACACCGAUGGCGAAGGCAGCCCCCUGGGUCAACACUGACGCUCAUGCACGAAAGGCGUGGGGAGCAAACAGG